AUCAUACCAGCACUAAUGCACCAGAUCCCAUCAGAACUCCGCAGUUAAGCGUGCUUGGGCGAGAGUAGUACUAGGAUAGGGGACCAACCAGAAAGUCCUCGUGGUGCAUCCCACUUUUUCUUUCGGUUUUUCUCUAUUUUGUUUUGUUAAAAAUGUAUGACUCUAUAACGUUUAGACCGUGAGGCAAAACUUGGAAUGUGAUACCUUUUCGGAAAGCCCAAAGAGAGCUCUCCGAUAAAUGAGGAAGGAAAAUGGAAUUCUUCUAUUGGUUUUUUAUUCUACUCCAAAUUUUGACCUUAAUGUACUUUUUUGGUCUUUUUGGUGAUCUUUGCUAUAUGACAGGGCGAAAAUUAUAUGAUCGGACAUUGUUUUCGAAUAUUUUGCAUGUAUCAAAGCUCUUAUAAACAAGAUAGGGUAUUCCUACAUAGCUGGUGGGAGCCACGGCAAAUGGAUCUUAAAGUCUUCAAAAAAAGAAUAGAUACGAUUGCAUUGGAUGUAGUAAACGGAUGCGAUCAUACCAGCACUAAUGCAACGGAUCCCAUCAAAACUCCGCAGUUAAGCGUGCUUGGGCGAGAGUAGUACUAGGCUGGGUGACCUCCCGGACAGUCCUCGUGUUGCAUCCCUCUUUUCUUUUUCGGUUUUUCUCUAUUUUGUUUUGUUAAAAUUGUAUGACUCUAUAACUUUUAGACCGUGACGCCAAACUUCGCAUGUGAUACCUUUUCGGAAAGCCCAAAGAGAGCUCUCCGAUGAAUGAGGAAGGAAAAUGGAAUUCUUCUAUUGGUUUUUUUGCUAUUCCAAAUUUUGACCUUAAUGUACUUUUUUGGUCCUUUUCGUGAUAUUUGCUAUAUUACAGGGCAAAAAUUAUAUGAUCGGACAUUGUUUUCGAAUAUUUUGCAUGUAUCAAAGCUCUUAUAAACAAGAUAUGGUAUUCCUACAUGGCUGGUGUGACCCACGACAAAUGGAUCAUAAAGUCUUAAAAAAAAAGAUAGAUACGAUUGCAUUGCAUGUAGUAAACGGAUGCGAUCAUACCAGCACUAAUGCACCGGAUCCCAUCAAAACUACGCAGUUAAGCGUGCUUGGGCGAGAGUAGUACUAGGCUGGGUGACCUCCCGGAUAGUCCUCGUGUUGCAUCCCUCUUUUCUUUUUCGGUUUUUCUCUAUUUUGUUUUGUUAAAAUUGUAUGACUCUAUAACUUUUAGACCGUGAGGCCAAACUUUGCAUGUGAUACCUUUUCGGAAAGCCCAAAGAGAGCUCUCCGAUGAAUGAGGAAGGAAAAUGGAAUUCUUCUAUUGUUUGUUUUUUCUAUUCCAAAUUUUGACCUUAAUGUACUUUUUCGGGCUUUUUCGUGAUCUUUGCCAUAUUACGGGGCGAAAUUAUAUGUUCGGACAUUGGUUUUGAAUAUUUUGUAUGUAUCAAAGCUCUUAUAAACAAGAUAUGGUAUUCCUACAUGGCUGGCGUGACCCACAGCAAAUGGAUCAUAAAGUCUUCAAAAAAAGAAUAUAUACGAUUGCAUUGCAUGUAGUAACGGAUGCGAUCACACCAGCACUAAUGCACCAGAUCCAAUUAAAACUCCGCAGUUGAGCAUACUUGGGCGAGAGUAGUACUAGGAUGGGUGACCUCCCGGAAAGUCCUCGUGUUGCAUCCCUCUUUUCUUUUUUUUGUUAAAAAUGUACGACUUUAUAACUUUUAGACCAUGAGGCCAAACUUGGAAUGUGAUACCUUUUCGGAAAGCCCAAAGAGAGCUCUCCUAUGAAUGAGGAAAGAAAAUGGAAUUCUUCUAUUGGUUUUUUAUUCUACUCCAAAUUUUGACCUUAAUGUACUUUUUUGGUCUUUUUCGUGAUCUUUGCUAUAUGACAGGGCGAAAAUUAUAUGAUCGGACAUUGUUUUCGAAUAUGUUGCAUGUAUCAAAGCUCUUAUAAACAAGAUAGGGUAUUCCUACAUAGCUGGUGGGAGCCACGGCAAAUGGAUCUUAAAGUCUUCCAAAAAAGAAUAGAUACGAUUGCAUUGCAUGUAGUUAACGGAUGCGAUCAUACCAGCACUAAUGCAACGGAUCCCAUCAAAACUCCGCAGUUAAGCGUACUUGGGCAAGAGUAGUACUAGGAUGGGGGACCUACCAGAAAGUCCCCGUGGUGCAUCCGACUUUUUCUUUCGGUUUUUCUCUAUUUUGUUUUGCUAAAAAUGUAUGAUUCUAUAACGUUUAGACCGUCAGGCCAAACUUGGCAUGUGAUACCUUUUCGGAAGCCCAAAGAGAGCUCUCCGAUGAAUGAGGAAGCAAAAUGGAAUUCUUCUAUUGUUUUUUUUUUCUAUUCCAAAUUUUGAGCUUAAUGUACUUUUUCGGGCCUUUUCGUGAUCUUUGCUAUAUUACGGGGCGAAAAUUAUAUGUUUGGACAUUGUUUUCGAAUAUUUUGCAUGUAUCAAAGCUCAGAUAAACAAGAUAGGGUAUUCCUACAUACCUGGUGGGACCCACGGCAAAUGGAUAGUAAAAUCUUCAAAAAAGAAUAGAUACUAUUGCAUUGCAUGUAGUAAUGGAUGCGAUCAUAUCAGCACUAACGCACCGGAUCCCAUCAAAACUCCACAGUUAAGCGUGUUUGGGCGAGAGUAGUACUAGGAUGGGGGACCUACCAAAAAGUCCUCGUGGUGCAUCCCACUUUUUCUUUCGGUUUUUCUCUAUUUUGUUUUGUUAAAAAUGUAUGACUCUAUAACGUUUAGACCGUCAGGCCAAACUUGGCAUGUGAUACCUUUUCGGAAAGCCCAAAGAGAGCUCUCCGAUGAAUGAGGAAGCAAAAUGAAAUUCUUCUAUUGUUUUUUUUUCUAUUCCAAAUUUUGACCUUAAUGUAGUUUUUCGGGCCUUUUCGUGAUCUUUGCUAUGUUCGGACAUUGUUUUCGAAUAUUUUUCAUGUAUCAAAGCUCUUAUAAACAAGAUAUCGUAUUCCUACAUGGCUGGUGUGACCCACGACAAAUGGAUCAUAAAGUUUUCAAAAAAGAAUAGAUACGAUUGCAUUGCAUGUAGUAAACGGAUGCGAUCAUACCAGCACUAAUGCACCGGAUCCCAUCAAAACUCUACACUUAAGCGUGCUUGGGAGAGAGUAGUACUAGGAUGGGUGACCUCCAAGAAAGUCCUCGUGUUGCAUCCCUCUUUUCUUUUUUCGGUUUUUCUCUAUGUUUUUUUGUUAAAAUUGUAUGACUCUUUAACUUUUAGACCGUGAGGCCAAACUUCGCAUGUGAUACCUUUUCAGAAAGCCCAAAGAGAGCUCUCCGGUGAAUGAGGAAGGAAAAUUGAAUUUUUCUAUUGGUUUUUUUUUCUACUCCAAAUUUUGACGUUAAUGUACUUUUUGGGGCCUUUUCGUGAUCUUUGCUAUAUUACGGAGCGAAAAUUAUAUGUUUGGACAUUGUUUUCGAAUAUUUUGCAUGUAUCAAAGCUCUGAUAAACAAGAUAGGGUAUUCCUACAUAGCUGGUGGGACCCACGGCAAAUGGAUCGUAAAGUCUUCGAAAAAGAAUAGAUACGAUUGCAUUGCAUGUAGUAACGGAUGCGAUCAUACCAGCACUAACGCACCGGAUCCCAUCAAAACUGUGCAGUUAAGCGUGUUUGGGCGAGACUAGUACUAGGAUGGGUGACCUCACGG
rnacentral:lncRNA from 1 species